rnacentral:rRNA from 1 species
GUCUAUGGCCAUACCACCCUGAACACACCAGAUCUCGUCUGAUCUCAGAAGCUAAGCAGGGUCAGGCCUAGUUAGUACUUGGAUGGGAGGGACGACUGGGGAAGAAUGCACA